AGAGUUUGAUCUGGCUCAGACGAACGCUGGCGGCAGGCUUAACACAUGCAAGUCGAACGCUCGUAGCAAUACGGGAGUGGCAGACGGGUGAGUAACGCGUGGGAACAUACCCUCCGGUUCGGAAUAGCUCAGGGAAACUUGGAUUAAUACCGGAUACGGCUGAGAGGCGAAAGAUUUAUCGCCGGAGGAUUGGCCCGCGUUCGAUUAGCUUGUUGGUGAGGUAACGGCUCACCAAGGCGAUGAUCGAUAGCUGGUCUGAGAGGAUGAUCAGCCACAUUGGGACUGAGACACGGCCCAAACUCCUACGGGAGGCAGCAGUGGGGAAUAUUGGACAAUGGGCGCAAGCCUGAUCCAGCCAUGCCGCGUGAGUGAUGACGGCCUUAGGGUUGUAAAGCUCUUUCGCUCGGGACGAUAAUGGCGGUACCGAGAUAAGAAGCCCCGGCUAACUUCGUGCCAGCAGCCGCGGUAAUACGAAGGGGGCUAGCGUUGUUCGGAAUUACUGGGCGUAAAGCGCGUGUAGGCGGGUCUUUAAGUCAGGGGUGAAAUGCCAAGGCUCAACCUUGGAACUGCCUUUGAUACUGGAGAUCUUGAGUCCGGGAGAGGUGAGUGGAAUUGCGAGUGUAGAGGUGAAAUUCGUAGAUAUUCGCAAGAACACCAGUGGCGAAGGCGGCUCACUGGCCCGGAACUGACGCUGAGACGCGAAAGCGUGGGGAGCAAACAGGAUUAGAUACCCUGGUAGUCCACGCUGUAAACGAUGGAUGCUAGCCGUUGGGGAGCUUGCUCUUCAGUGGCGCAGCUAACGCUUUAAGCAUCCCGCCUGGGGAGUACGGUCGCAAGAUUAAAACUCAAAGGAAUGAC
rnacentral:rRNA from 1 species